GUCCUGCGCUGUUAUUUUUUUUAAUUGGAUUCUCUAUUUGUUCCACUUUGGAACAUUAGGGUCAUUUUUGUGAUUCGAAAAACAUUAGCGUAAUGGCUAAUUGUAUGCAACAUCAGUUCAUGUUCAAACAUUAGAUAGAGCGUAUAUUUAUUUCAUUUUAGUAACAUUAGGGUCAUUUUUAAGAUUCGAAAAAUAUUAAGAGCCAAGUGAGCCGCAAAAUAAAUAUUAGGAUCAUUUUUGUAUCUUAACCCUUUAUUCAAUAGUCUAAAAAUAAAAUAGUAAUAGAUGUUAAUUCAUUAGCGUGGUUCAUCAAAAUUUGGUUAUUUUCUUUUUCUUUGAAAGUAUUUAAUUAGCUAUAAAUAUGGAAUUGUAGUCUUUAUCCUCGGUUUCUAGAUAAAAUGGACAGAUAUUACUGUAACAAAAUCAUUAUCCUACUAUAAAUCAAUCAUUAUUAUUUCAGUUAUAAUCAAACCAGAAUUCUAGUUUACAUUAUCCACAAUGGAUAAACAUAUAAGCGAUUAUCUUUCAUUUUCAUAAUUAUAUAUUUAGGCCUAGAUUCAGUAAAUAAAUGUUUCACAUCCCUCUUCUCCUAGUCUUAAGAGAAUAAUUUCAGAUUCAGAUAUGGCGUGAUCAUGAAAUACAAACUCGAGAAGCAAUAUCCUCCGCCUGUAAAUGUAUUGAGAAUGCAUUGGAGAUUACUGAAGACAAACACUAAUGGCAGGCUGGUGAUUAGAGUUGAGAUUGACGAGCAAUUUGAGUUUUUUGAAGCAGAUAGAUCUAAUGGCCGGUUUAUACUUAAUCUGGUGUCGGAAGAUAACCCAUUUAGUAAACUUAUGCUAGAUCAUUUAUCUAUCAAUGAUUUGUUAGCUAACGAUUAGGAGUCUACAUUAUAUUCGACGAACAGAAAUCUUUAAUUUAUCAAAACAUUACAGAUCUUGUAAUGACUUAAAAUAUUUCAAACUGGACCUGUCAA